ensembl:lncRNA
CCAACAAUGUCACCCAUCUACCCCAACAAUGUCACCCAUUGGGUGUCCCCAGCAGUGUCACCCAUUGUCCCCAACCAUGUCACCCACUGUCCCCAACCAUGUCACCCAUUGUCCCCAACAGCGUCACCCAUUGGUUGUCCCCAACAACGUCACCCAUUGUCCCCAACAACGUCACCCAUUGUCCCCAACAAUGUCACCCAUUGACCCCAACAAUGUCACCCGCCGGGUGUCCCCAGCAGUGUCACCCAUUGGUUGUCCCCAACAACGUCACCCAUUGUCCCCAACAACGUCACCCAUUGUCCCCAACAAUGUCACCCAUUGACCCCAACCAUGUCACCCAUUGUCCCCAACAGCGUCACCCAAUGUUGUCCCCAACAAUGCCACCCAUUGACCCCAACCAUGUCACCCCCUGGGUGUCCCCAACAGCGUCACCCAAUGUCCCCAACAGCGUCACCCAUUGACCCCAGCAGUGUCACCCAUUGGGUGUCCCCAACGUCACCUAUUGUCCCCAACAAUGUCACCCAUUGUCCCCAACACUGUCACCCAUUGUCCCCAACAGCGCCAGCCAUUGGUUGUCCCCAACAACGUCACCCAUUGUCCCCAACGUCACCCAUUGACCCCAACCAUGUCACCCAAUGUCCCCAACAAUGUCACCCAUUGUCCCCAGCAGCAUCACCCAUUGGGUGUCCCCAACGUCACCCAUUGUCCCCAACAAUGUCACCCAUUGGGUAUCCCCAACAGUGUCACCCAUUGACCCCAGCCAUGUCACCCAUUGUCCCCAACAGCGUCACCCAUUGGUUGUCCCCAACAGCGUCACCCAUUGCCCCCAACAGUGUCACCCAUUGUCCCCAACAAUGUCACCCAUUGACCCCAACAGCGUCACCCACUGGUUGUCCCCA